AAAAAUGUAUCUCUUAUUCUUAUUAUUAGCUAACAUCCUUAUGUUAUGGGACGAGGGAGUAGUUUAUAAGGUUCUGUUUAUAAACUUUCUGUACUCAGUUUAUAAUGUUUCUCUUAUUCUAUUAUUAGCUAACAUCUUUAUAAAUCAGAGAUUCUGUGUAUCAUCACAGUUAUAAGCACAUACCAAAUUUAGCUACAUCUUAGACUUAUCUUCAUACAAAUUAUAUCCUUUUGACUUCAGUUACUUAUGUAUUGUCGAAAUCUGGUCAUUUGUAUUCUUCUCAGAAACUGCAUAAUGGCACCUUGCCGUUCUUUUCAGUUCGUCUCCUUAUGAUCCCCGCUUCAAUCUUUCUACUUGAUCUACAUUUUUUCCCAUCAGUUUAAUUUCUUGAUUUUGAUUCAGAUAUUCAAUAGUUGCUGGUGCGGGCAAUGGACAUUCAUACAUUCCUAUAUUUUUCUGUAAUCUGUUCUGUAUUUCAUUUAAUUUGUAUCUUACUUUUUCCUGUAUAUAUAUGAUGCCUAGGAGAAGUGCACUGUACGAUGCAUAUCGGAGAAAAAGGCCCACUACAAGUUCUCCUGCUACUAAAAGAAGUUAGAGCUGCAAAUUCAAUGUUCAGGGAAGCCAAGAUCGGUUGAUAUGAAACUGUAUCUCCUGUUCAAGAUACUGUCAUGGCAACGGUGGAAAGAUGCAGAGGACACAUCCUGAAUUGGUGUUCUUUGCAAUGCCCUGGUGACCGGCGCCAGCAACACGCUACGG